AGUGAACGCUGGCGGUAGGCCUAACACAUGCAAGUCGAACGGCAGCACAGUAAGAGCUUGCUCUUACGGGUGGCGAGUGGCGGACGGGUGAGGAAUACAUCGGAAUCUACUUUUUCGGGGGGGAUAACGUAGGGAAACUUACGCUAAUACCGCAUACGACCUACGGGUGAAGGCAGGGGAUCUUCGGACCUUGCGCGAUUGAUUGAGCCGAUGUCGGAUUAGCUAGUUGGCGGGGUAAAGGCCCACCAAGGCGACGAUCCGUAGCUGGUCUGAGAGGAUGAUCAGCCACACUGGAACUGAGACACGGUCCAGACUCCUACGGGAGGCAGCAGUGGGGAAUAUUGGACAAUGGGCGCAAGCCUGAUCCAGCCAUACCGCGUGGGUGAAGAAGGCCUUCGGGUUGUAAAGCCCUUUUGUUGGGAAAGAAAAGCAGCAGGUUAAUACCCCGCUGUUCUGACGGUACCCAAAGAAUAAGCACCGGCUAACUUCGUG
rnacentral:rRNA from 1 species